GUCAAGACUAUGUAAAUAUCUAUCUAACUACUUACUUAACUAUACCUUCCACUUCAAUAUCAUUUACAGGCAAAAUAACUAAGUAUUUGUUUUUCAAUCACGUCCGUAUACAGUUGUGAGUGAAUAUUGUGAGCAGAAAAGUACUUACCUAAUAAACUAACGCUAUUGUGAGUGAGUGCUCUUACGUGAUUCAAAGACAAAUAAAUAUACCUACUUAAAGUUAUGGACUUAUGGUUGUGCUAGUGUCGACAAAUUAUAUUUAAUUAUGUAGAUAUGAUUCAAAUCCUACCUAAACUCCAUACGAUGAGCAUGCGAAUGUAACACCUACCUAACACAAGUUUUAUAAAUUAGUUAAUAAUCAAGUUUCGAGUCAUAGUUAUAAAAACUUAACGUGAAGUCGCCUCAAGGUAGCUAAAGUUCAUUCACACUACAUGCUUAAGUAUAGUAUCUUUGUCCUCAAGUACCUAAAAACGAUAACUACCUGAGCAUUUUUUAUAGAAGCUAAAUUUAGGUAGAUAUAUCAGGAAACAUACUAGUUAUUAUUAGUCAGUGCGGUCACAGUCAUACUUAGCGAAUGGGUACCAGGUUAACAGCAGUGCGCGGUGGUAUCAAAUAAUUGAGAAAUGUUCAUAAUAGCAGUUUUAGUUUUAUUGUCACUCCUGGUGAUACUGGCAGCCUGUGAAGUGAUAAGGAACUAUUGUGUAGUUGGAAACAGGGAUGGGACCGGAAAGACGUUGAAGAAAUGGUCAGCCCCAAUAGAAGUGAUCAAGAACAAAUUGAGCGGACGCAAGAUCCUUCACGAAGAAAAUGCAAUAAAAAACGAACAGCCUCCAAAAGUGUCUACUGUAGUGUCAAUAUCUAGUGCAGCUACUGACGAAAUAACUUAAUAAGCAAGUGGCAGUGAUGGUGGUGUCUUCGCUUUAAUCUUUCUGAACUAAAGGAGUAAAUGAUAUAAGUCAAUGAGUAAAUGAUAAAUAACUACUGGAUCAGUGGCCAAAGGUCGAUUAAUGCUGUUGAUCCGUCCAGGAUCUUUUUGUUUAAUCUAAAAUAUAAUAAUAUAUAGUUAGGUAAGGUACAUAAAUGUAAUAUAUUGUGCUGUUUUACCAAUGAAUACAAGUAAAAAAAGU